GGAAGUGUCUGAAACUGGCCCUUAACUAGCGUAGGUCAGUUUAUAGUUUCUUCUCACAAAGACCAUUCCUGCAGGCCCCUGUUACCAACCCCCUGCCACCUAAACUCAAUACAAGGCCACAGAAGUUACUGACCUUUGUAUAUCUGAGAAAAGGUCAUAUGCAUUCAAAUACCUAAGCACUAUUUAACACCACUGUACAUUACUCACGCACAACAAAACUUUUCUAAAUAACAGAUAAUGCAUUAGGAUAAUGCAUAAAAAUAUAUUAUCUUUUUGAUUCUAGUACUUUUUACAAAUUUUUCCUUUAGGUAUACUAGGAGGGAAUGAACAAAGAAAAGUUAAGAUUAAUACAAAUAGAAACAAUGUUGGUUCACUUAUGGGCAAAAACAGAGUUGUGGGGAGAGGAAAGAUAUAGGUUUUCAUCUUAUGAUAUAUCGUAAUAGGUAAGGUGCUGGGAAUACAUGUGCUUGAACUUUGGGAUUUUCCUCUUUUCCUAUGCCCCAAUGCUUUACCAACUCCUUUAAUAUUAUCUAACAUAUACAUUUUUUAAUAGUAGUGUCAAGGUCCCAAGUGUGCUAAUAGGUCUUAACUACUCUAAUUAAUCUCACUUGGGACCCUUAUCGGCACCCUGCCAGCAGUGGUGUUUCAGCUGUGGCUCAGGCCCUCACUCCUCUUUUGAGUUAGCUACAGUGGGAUAGUUUUGUUUGUGCUGGGGACAUGUGCAGUUCUUGGCUCACGUAUGCUUGUGGGGUGCUUUGCUCCUGCGGCCUGUGAGAUGCCGUUGGUUAAUGCAUGCAUUAUUGUUAUGAAAUGAAGCUAUGAAUGUAAAACCAGAAGAUUUGCAGGGACAAUAUAUUUUAAUGCAUAAAACCUCAAGCAUGAAACCAAAUCCACAGAGCUUUUUCAGGGAAAGAAGAGGAGAAAGGAUUUCAAUGCUGUUGCAGGGUGAAAAAAUAAUCCACAUCUGGAGCUUACUAGAAAGGGGCAUUGAAAUUUAUUUGGCAACUUGUAAAUAUAAUUUGUUCAGUACUGGAAAUGUGUGUGCCUUCCUUCUUCAGAAUCCUCAGUACAAGGGCACAACAUCUCAGACUUUGUGGAAAUAUAUUGUAUUUCUUGUAUUGAUGUGAAUAUGAAUUUUUUGUAGUUGUAGUUGUAGUUACUACACGUUACUACAUGUUACUACAGUUGUUGUAGUUACUAAACACAUAAAGUAUUAUAAAAUUGUCCUGUACAGGAAAAAACAAGAAGCUUUAAUUUGUCCAAAUUAAGACCAAGUGGUGAGAACACUAGUUAAGAUGCAUUUUCCCAGAAGAAUAGACUGUUUUAGGGACGCUUGUUAAAUGCUUUCUCCGGACACAGCAAUGCCAAUCAGAGUCAUGCUAGAAACACGGAUAUGGAUUUGGUCAAGAGGCUUCUGGAAAAGGAGACACAGACUGUAAUUUGGUUUGUCCAAAUACAUUGUACCCCCAUAUAUUUGGGACGCUUGUGUAUGAAUGUACACUGCACAACUGAUAUUUAUGCCUUGGAAUAAAGUGUGUCCUCUUCUGAAUCUGGUCUGCUAA
rnacentral:lncRNA from 1 species